rnacentral:rRNA from 1 species
AGUCGAACGGCAGCACGGGAGUAAUCCUGGUGGCGAGUGGCGAACGGGUGAGUAAUACAUCGGAACGUGUCCUGUAGUGGGGGAUAGCCCGGCGAAAGCCGGAUUAAUACCGCAUACGCUCUGCGGAGGAAAGCGGGGGAUCCUUCGGGACCUCGCGCUACAGGGGCGGCCGAUGGCAGAUUAGCUAGUUGGUGGGGUAAAGGCCUACCAAGGCGACGAUCUGUAGCUGGUCUGAGAGGACGACCAGCCACACUGGGACUGAGACACGGCCCAGACUCCUACGGGAGGCAGCAGUGGGGAAUUUUGGACAAUGGGCGAAAGCCUGAUCCAGCAAUGCCGCGUGUGUGAAGAAGGCCUUCGGGUUGUAAAGCACUUUUGUCCGGAAAGAAAACCUUCGAGUUAAUACCUUGGGGGGAUGACGGUACCGGAAGAAUAAGCACCGGCUAACUACGUGCCAGCAGCCGCGGUAAUACGUAGGGUGCAAGCGUUAAUCGGAAUUACUGGGCGUAAAGCGUGCGCAGGCGGUCCGCUAAGACAGAUGUGAAAUCCCCGGGCUUAACCUGGGAACUGCAUUUGUGACUGGCGGGCUAGAGUAUGGCAGAGGGGGGUAGAAUUCCACGUGUAGCAGUGAAAUGCGUAGAGAUGUGGAGGAAUACCGAUGGCGAAGGCAGCCCCCUGGGCCAAUACUGACGCUCAUGCACGAAAGCGUGGGGAGCAAACAGGAUUAGAUACCCUGGUAGUCCACGCCCUAAACGAUGUCAACUAGUUGUCGGGUCUUCAUUGACUUGGUAACGUAGCUAACGCGUGAAGUUGACCGCCUGGGGAGUACGGUCGCAAGAUUAAAACUCAAAGGAAUUGACGGGGACCCGCACAAGCGGUGGAUGAUGUGGAUUAAUUCGAUGCAACGCGAAAAACCUUACCUACCCUUGACAUGUAUGGAAUCCUGCUGAGAGGUGGGAGUGCCCGAAAGGGAGCCAUAACACAGGUGCUGCAUGGCUGUCGUCAGCUC